UUGUCCAGUACAGCUCCUCACAGCGCUACUGAGGCUGGGGGUUAGGAGUGAAGGAGUGAAGAAACAAAAAAGCUGUUUGUUUGAAAUGAUUGUGUUCCCAGCGGUAAAAACAGUGCUGGUAACUGAGAAGGCCUUUCUGUGAUCACAAAUAGUUCCCAGGGCCACCGCCUCUUUUCCUAGAGCUGGGGAUGGUGUUAACAAGAAGGUAAGAUGGGAACACAACCCAUUAACAGGAGCUGAGAAGGCUGUGGUCUGAAACACCCUGGAGCAGAAAGAAGGCGCAGGCAAGAGUGAGCCCAGGAAGACAGCAAGAUGGAGAAACUGAGACAUGCUUGGAGGACUGACCUGCAACAGGGUCACGCGGCGGGUGAGCAGGAACAGAAGGCAAAUUUCCUGGUCCUGGGGCCAGUUUUCCACCCAAUCUACCCCGUCUAAAUGAAACGGCAGAAGCUUAGUUUUGAUAAGCAGUUCCAUGAAAACAUGUCCUGUGCCAGAUUCUCUCUGGUGCCCGAGACACUCCCCGAUGGAGGGUUAGGGCUCGGAGCCCUUUAACUCCUUCGGCACAGUAGAGAAAGGUUUAGGAAAUAGCAGAACAAACGCAAAGGCCUUGAGAAGGUCCUUCCAAGACUCAGCCCAGGACUCUUCUCUCUGUCCUAUCUUCAGCCCUAAAGCAAAGGGCUGAAGAUGUAAGAAGGCUUUUACCUGGGUCCUUCGAAACAUGCCUAGUGCCUUCAUUAACUCCUCUACUUCAGAUAUCAACCGCAAAUGUCCUCUCUCACAGUGGGCAGACUGGCUGCACUAUACGAAAACGACACAUGUGAAAUGGAGGGCACCAUAGAGGCACGCUCCAUAUCCCUGAUCCUCACGCCAGCAGCAAAACAGGUUACACGGCUCCUGCUGGGUGGCAGAAGACGUGGAGGUGAGACGCACUGCUGCGCCUACAUAGCACAGCUCCCAUGCAGCCUGGAGAGCCUGUCCACUUCAAAGAGUGCCAAAACAGUACUGCAUUCCUUAAAGAGCUGAAUAAAGGAUCGAGUUAGACUGGCCUUCUCAACACCUCACGAAAAGCCCCCUUGGGUCUCAUUUUGCUGGGAUGACUAUUUAUAUGACAGGCCACAGAUGUAACUGAGCUACGUGUCUGUGUUUCGAGUGCAGAGCUGAGUGGAAGUCGGCCCUGUGACUGUCAUAUCAACACGUUUUAGUGAACAACAGACGCGGCCAGGCUGGUACCAAAACUGCUGAAGAGAGUCACCUUUCCCAAGUCCUGCCUCGGCUGGCUGAAGGCCACCAAAGGGACAGUGUGGUCCAAUUCUGAGUUUAGUCUUCUGAGGGCAUGUCCCACCCAACAGCUCUCAGGCCAGGAGCCAUAGUGAGCACGCCUCACUAAAAGCGGGGAAUGGACGCCAAACUGAAAAAGAGCAAAGUGAAUCCGACACACUCCCUCUGCGUACAGCCCAUCCCUGGCUUAGAUGUAAAUAUACAUGCUGGCAAUUGUGUUUGGUAUAUAUAAGUAAAAGUUUUGUUUUCUAAAUAAUGAUUUCUAAUCCUUUGGAAAUGUGUGACUUCAGGCAAAUCACUUCUCCAGGUCCCAGUCUCCUCAUCUGUAAAAUGGCGAUAAUACUACGUAGUGCCACAGAGA